rnacentral:tRNA from 1 species
CCUUCGAUAGCUCAGCUGGUAGAGCGGAGGACUGUAGGCUGUUUCUAGAGAGUAAUCCUUAGGUCGCUGGUUCAAUUCCGGCUCGAAGGA